AACGAACGCUGGCGGCAGGCCUAACACAUGCAAGUCGAGCGGGACCUUCGGGUCUAGCGGCGGACGGGUUAGUAACACGUGGGAACGUCCCUCUCUCUACGGAAUAGCCUCGGGAAACUGAGCGUAAUACCGUAUACGCCCUUUGGGGGAAAGAUUUAUCGGAGAGAGAUCGGCCCGCGUCUGAUUAGAUAGUUGGUGGGGUAAUGGCCUACCAAGUCUACGAUCAGUAGCUGGUUUGAGAGGAUGAUCAGCAACACUGGGACUGAGACACGGCCCAGACUCCUACGGGAGGCAGCAGUGGGGAAUCUUAGACAAUGGGCGCAAGCCUGAUCUAGCCAUGCCGCGUGAGUGAUGAAGGCCUUAGGGUCGUAAAGCUCUUUCGCUGGGGAAGAUAAUGACUGUACCCAGUAAAGAAACCCCGGCUAACUUCGUGCCAGCCGCCGCGGUAA
rnacentral:rRNA from 1 species